rnacentral:lncRNA from 1 species
UAGACCUAAAGGCAACAUAGUAAGUAAGGUGUAAUUGAGAAGGUACCCCACAGGUACAACAAAUAAGUUUCUGGAUGGAACAGGAAAGGGGAAAAAAAGAAGAAGAGAGAAUUCCUUUGCACAUACCGAUAAAAUAAAGAGCUGUGCAUUAUUGUGCAGAAAAAUUGAGUUAACGUGUACUUUACAUAUGAAAAUAAGAUACUAGAUCAGAA